rnacentral:rRNA from 1 species
AGAUGAGACAUCCCCGAGGCCUCGAGCCUCCUGAAGGGCCCAGCGAGACCAGCUGGUUGAUAGGCCGGAUGUGGAAGCGCUGCAAGGCGUUGAGCUAACCGGUACUAAUGGCCCGUGAGGCUUGACCAUA